rnacentral:lncRNA from 1 species
UUCUCUCGCCACAGAUGACGACAUCAGAAAAACUACCGAAUGGGCAGCUUCCCAUCCGGUCCAUAAACACACCUUGAAGAGUGCCGAUGAACAUGUCUGUCAACUCCCUUUCCAGCAUAGGGGGUUGAACUCUCGCAGCAAGCUCACGCCAUCUCUGGGCGUACUCUUUAAAGCUCUCGUUGUUUUUCUGGCACAGACUCUGCAGCUGAGUCCGGCUAGGUGCCAUGUCCAUGUUAUGUUUGUA